GGCAAUUGUAACUAGUGCCUAUAAACAAUGAAAAUAAAAAUCCAACAUCAGAUCCACAAGUAAAUUCAGCUGGAUAGAUUUCAAGAAAACAUUACUAAAAUUGUUGAGAAUUUAAUUUCCAAUGGUCGCAGGCUCAUGGCAUAAGUAAUGUAACAACUCUUACACAUUUCAUUUGAAACAGAUUGCAAAAACAGAGUUCUACACAAGCAUUUAUCUAUAACACAUGGACGCACCAUAAGACCUGCCAAUAGACACAAAGACUUGUUAGUUAAACAUGCUAGUAGGCUAACACCUAACCUUCAAUUAGUUCUCUCACUUUGUUUUCAUCAAUUUAACUAAAAAUUCAUUCUCCUUUUAUUUUAAAGACAUUCAAACAAGCAAACUUACACUCUAUAUUCUAUAAAGCAUUUUGCUGCCUCACAUGCAUACGUGUCCU
rnacentral:misc_RNA from 1 species